AGGUGCUGCAUGGUUGUCGUCAGCUCGUGCCGUGAGGUGUCGGGUUAAGUCCCAUAACGAGCGCAACCCCUACCUUUAGUUGCCAUCAGGUUAAGCUGGGGACUCUAAAGGAACUGCCUACGCAAGUAGUGAGGAAGGCGGGGAUGACGUCAAAUCAGCACGGCCCUUACGUCCAGGGCUACACACGUGCUACAAUGGCCGAUACAGAGGGCAGCUACCUGGUGACAGGAUGCAAAUCUCCAAAGUCGGUCUCAGUUCGGAUCGGAGUCUGCAACCCGACUCCGUGAAGUUGGAUUCGCUAGUAAUCGCGCAUCAGCCAUGGCGCGGUGAAUACGUUCCCGGGCCUU
rnacentral:rRNA from 1 species